AGAGCGAACGCUGGCGGCAGGCCUAACACAUGCAAGUCGAGCGCCCGUAGCAAUACGGGAGCGGCAGACGGGAUAGUAACACGUGGGAACGCGCCCUUCGGUUCGGAAUAACUCAGGGAAACUUGAGCUAAUACCGAAUACGCCCUUACGGGGAAAGAUUUAUUGCCGAAGGAACGGCCCGCGUCCGAUUAGCUAGUUGGUGAGGUAAUGGCUCACCAAGGCUACGAUCGGUAGCUGGUCUGAGAGGAUGACCAGCAUCACUGGGACUGAGACACGGCCCAGACUCCUACGGGAGGCAGCAGUGGGGAAUAUUGGACAAUGGGCGCAAGCCUGAUCCAGCCAUGCCGCGUGGAUGAUGAAGGCCUUAGGGUUGUAAAGUCCGUUUUAACGGGAAGUAUAAGUGACGGUACCCGUAGAAUAACGCCCCGGCUAACGUUCGUGCUAGCAGCCGC
rnacentral:rRNA from 1 species